rnacentral:rRNA from 1 species
GACGAACGCUGGCGGCGUGCUUAACACAUGCAAGUCGAACGAAGAGCGAUGGAAGCUUGCUUCUCUCAAUCUUAGUGGCGAACGGGUGAGUAACGCGUAAUCAACCUGCCCUUCAGAGGGGGACAACAGUUGGAAACGACUGCUAAUACCGCAUACGAUCUAAUCUCGGCAUCGAGGAUGGAUGAAAGGUGGCCUCUACAUGUAAGCUAUCACUGAAGGAGGGGAUUGCGUCUGAUUAGCUAGUUGGAGGGGUAACGGCCCACCAAGGCGAUGAUCAGUAGCCGGUCUGAGAGGAUGAACGGCCACAUUGGGACUGAGACACGGCCCAGACUCCUACGGGAGGCAGCAGUGGGGAAUCUUCCGCAAUGGACGAAAGUCUGACGGAGCAACGCCGCGUGAGUGAUGACGGCCUUCGGGUUGUAAAGCUCUGUUAAUCGGGACGAAAGGCCUUCUUGCGAAUAGUGAGAAGGAUUGACGGUACCGGAAUAGAAAGCCACGGCUAACUACGUG